GAAAGGCAAGGAAGGGGCAACGGAGAAGAAACUACCCCGCGGUAGGUGAGUGACAGGGAGAGAGGCAAAGGCGCUGACUCCAGGGACGUUGUUAGAACUGGAAAGCCUCACUCCGGAGACACUGUGGGGCAUUUCAACGACAAUCCGGUCGCGGGCAUUUUUCUGUUGCUGGUCCCCCACCCGCGCCAGUCGCACAGCCCAGCCGCGCCCAGGUUCCGGGAAGGAAGUUCUGAUACAUGCUACAACCUGGAUGAACCUUGAGGGCAUUAUGCUGAGUGAAAUAAGCCAGUCACAAAAA